rnacentral:rRNA from 1 species
CCUACGGGAGGCAGCAGUGAGGAAUAUUGGUCAAUGGACGAGAGUCUGAACCAGCCAAGUAGCGUGAAGGAUGACUGCCCUAUGGGUUGUAAACUUCUUUUAUAAAGGAAUAAAACGCGGCACGUGUGCCUUUUUGCAUGUACUUCAUGAAUAAGGAUCGGCUAACUCCGUGCCAGCAGCCGCGGUAAUACGGAGGAUCCGAGCGUUAUCCGGAUUUAUUGGGUUUAAAGGGAGCGUAGAUGGGUUGUUAAGUCAGUUGUGAAAGUUUGCGGCUCAACCGUAAAAUUGCAAUUGAUACUGGAAGUCUUGAGUACAGGUGAGGUAGGCGGAAUUCGUGGUGUAGCGGUGAAAUGCUUAGAUAUCACGAAGAACCCCGAUUGCGAAGGCAGCUUACGAAACUGUGACUGACGUUGAUGCUCGAAAGUGUGGGUAUCAAACAGGAUUAGAUACCCGGGUAGUC